GGGCAGGUUGUCUAGUCAGGCAAGAUGGCGAUUUGAAACCUCGCAGAUCGAGGGUUCAAAUCCCUCCCUGUCCA
rnacentral:tRNA from 1 species